rnacentral:misc_RNA from 1 species
CCUACGGGUGGCAGCAGUCGGGAAUUUUGGGCAAUGGGCGAAAGCCUGACCCAGCAACGCCGCGUGAAGGAUGAAAUCCCUCGGGAUGUAAACUUCGCAAGAACGGGAAGAAUAAGUAGGGGACAAUACCCCCUAUGAUGACGGUACCGUUUGUAAGCUCCGGCUAACUCCGUGCCAGCAGCCGCGGUAAUACGGGGGGAGCAAGCGUUGUUCGGAUUUACUGGGCGUAAAGGGCGCGUAGGCGGCCAGUGCAAGUCAGUUGUGAAAUCUCCGAGCUUAACUCGGAAAGGUCAACUGAUACUGCUCGGCUAGAGUGCGGAAGGGGCAACUGGAAUUCUUGGUGUAGCGGUGAAAUGCGUAGAUAUCAAGAGGAACACCUGCGGCGAAGGCGGGUUGCUGGGCCGACACUGACGCUGAUGCGCGAAAGCUAGGGGAGCGAACGGGAUUAGAUACCCUUGUAGUC